rnacentral:rRNA from 1 species
AUUGAACGCUGGCGGCAGGCCUAACACAUGCAAGUCGAACGGUAACAGGAAGCAGCUUGCUGCUUUGCUGACGAGUGGCGGACGGGUGAGUAAUGUCUGGGAAACUGCCUGAUGGAGGGGGAUAACUACUGGAAACGGUAGCUAAUACCGCAUAACGUCGCAAGACCAAAGAGGGGGACCUUAGGGCCUCUUGCCAUCGGAUGUGCCCAGAUGGGAUUAGCUAGUAGGUGGGGUAACGGCUCACCUAGGCGACGAUCCAUAGCUGGUCUGAGAGGAUGACCAGCCACACUGGAACUGAGACACGGUCCAGACUCCUACGGGAGGCAGCAGUGGGGAAUAUUGCACAAUGGGCGCAAGCCUGAUGCAGCCAUGCCGCGUGUAUGAAGAAGGCCUUCGGGUUGUAAAGUACUUUCAGCGGGGAGGAAGGGAGUAAAGUUAAUACCUGUGCUCAUUGACGUUACCCGCAGAAGAAGCACCGGCUAACUCCGUG